rfam:Schistosoma rodhaini strain Burundi genome assembly, scaffold: SROB_scaffold0009828
AUCCAGCUGACGAGUCCCAACUAGGUUGAAACGCGCGUCCUGGAU